AUGGAGAUUACUGAGUCGGAGCCGGCACCGGAGCUUCCCGCGGAGGAGGAGAUGGCGCUCAUCCGAGAUAUCACCGCCGCCGCGGAGGCCCACGCCAAGGAGGGUGACAUCUUCUUCCUCAUCACAAACAGACAUAUAUGUUUCUUGGUUGACUCAAAUAGGUGGUGGCAAAGUUGGAUUGACUAUGUUAUUCAUGAUUUGGCUGGUGUACCAAGUAAUGGUUCUCAUCAUCAUGAGUUCGGUUCAAAUACUCCUAGAAGGCCAGGAGCUAUUGACAAUACAAAUUUGUUGGAUGACAUGGCAUCUGAAGUCUCCGACAUACAGAUUGAGCUACAUGAUACUUUGGUUGAAGGCCGUGAUUAUAUAUUGCUCCCUCAGCAAGUCUGGGAAAAACUGCAUAGUUGGUAUGGUGGAGGGCCAACACUACCAAGAAAGGCAAUCAAUACUGGCUUGUCUCAAACUGAUCUAGCCAUAGAAGUUUAUCCUCUACGUCUGCAGUUACUUCUGAUGCCGAAAGGAGAGCAAGCUGUAGUAAGGAUAAGCAAGAGGGUUACAGUUGAUGAGCUCCGUAAGAAGGCGUGUGAGGUUUUUGAUUUGGUACCAGAUGAGGUGUGCAUCUGGGACUACUAUGGUCGAACAAAGCAUGCUUUGAUGGAUAACUUGGAGAAAACUCUUGAUGAUGCCAACAUUCAAAUGGAUCAAGAUAUUCUCGUUGAAGUCACCACUGAUGCAAAUGGUAGUUUGGAUGGUGCGUGCAUGAGUUCAAUCCAAGAAGAUUAUUUUGGAAGCACAUCAACUUAUUUGAUGACAAAUGCUUCAAAAUCAGGAUGCUUGAAUGAGAAUUUAGCAUCACUCUGUUAUGGUUCCAGAAGCUACAGCUCGAGUCUCAUGCAAAGCCAGUACCUGCGCUCUUCCAGUGGUGACUUGGAUAAUGUUCCUGGUACUGUUGGUAUGACCACCAGGGGAUCUCCGUCAGGUCUUACUGGGCUACUUAACUUGGGAAACACAUGUUUCAUGAACAGUGCUGUACAAUGUCUUGUGCACACACCAGAGUUUGCUAGAUAUUUUCGUGAAGAUUACCACUGUGAAAUUAAUUGGCACAAUCCUCUGGGUAUGGUGGGUGAACUUGCAUUAGCUUUUGGAGAGCUACUGAGAAAACUUUGGGCUCCUAGCCGUACGCCAGUGUCUCCACGACCAUUCAAAACAAAGUUGUCUCGGUUUGCACCUCAGUUCAGUGGAUACAACCAACACGAUUCACAGGAGCUGUUGGCAUUCCUCCUGGAUGGACUGCAUGAAGACUUGAACCGUGUGAAACAUAGACCUUACUUAAAAUCCAAAGAUGCUGAGGGACGAUCAGAUGAAGAGGUUGCUGAUGAGUAUUGGGCAAAUCACAUUGCCAGAAACGAUUCUAUCAUUGUUGAUGUAUGCCAGGGGCAGUACAAGUCAACUUUGGUCUGUCCAGUAUGUGGAAAGGUUUCAGUGACAUUUGACCCAUUCAUGUAUCUUUCCUUACCUCUACAAUUUGCUUCAACACGGAGCAUGACUGUUGUCGUUUUCACUUGUGAUGGGAGUGCUCCACCAAUACCAUACACUGUAAGUGUACCCAAGCAAGGUAGGUGCAGGGACCUUAUCCAAGCACUCAGCAACGCAUGCUCGCUUAGGAAUGAAGAGAGACUUCUAAUCGCCGAGAUACGUAGUCAUAGGAUCCAUCUUAUUCUCGAGGAUCCAGUGCUCCAGCUUUCUACAAUUAAAGAUGAUGAUCACCUGGCAGUUUAUAGGCUUCCAAGAUUGGAAAAAAGGGCAAGUUAUGUUCAAUUUGUUCAUCGCCGUGAAGACUUGGACCUUGGAAACAAUAGCAGCUCAACCUCUUGGAAGCCAUAUGGUGUUCCUCUUCUUGCACAAAUAUCUCGCAAUGAAACUGUCACCGGUUCUGAUAUCCAUGAGAUGGCCCGUAAAAUGCUUGUGCCCAUGUUCAGAAAUCAUGUGGCACAACAUUCGGCAGUUCAAAGUUCUCUUUCCACAAGAACACAAAGCUAUCACACCGACAGCAGCAAAUUUCAGCUACAGUUGAUUGAUGAUAGCAACACAGUGAUUGAGCAAACUGAUUAUGCUAUCAGGGUUCCGCAGUCUUCGGUUGCAACUGUUAUUUUUGUCAACUGGUCCAAGUUAGAUCUUAAAAAGUUGAACACUAACCAUUUGGAGCACCUUCCAGAGGUGUUUAAGUAUGCUCCUCCCGCCAAGAGAACCCGUGGUGAACCUCUCUCACUCUAUGCAUGCUUGGAUGCUUUCUUGAGAGAAGAACCACUUGUUCCUGAAGAAAUGUGGUACUGUCCGAGGUGCAAGGAGCAAAGGCAAGCUAGUAAAAAGCUUGAUUUAUGGAGACUACCAGAAGUGUUAGUUAUUCAUUUGAAGAGAUUUUCAUUUAGUAGGUCAACUAAACAUAAGCUGGAAACUUUUGUUAAUUUCCCAAUACAUGACUUGGAUUUGACAAACUAUAUUGCUAACAAGAUACCUCAGCGUCAAACUUAUGAGCUGUAUGCUGUUAGCAAUCAUUAUGGCAGCAUGGCGAGUGGGCAUUAUACUGCUUACAUAAAGCUCUUGGAUGAGAACAGGUGGUACAAUUUUGAUGAUAGCCAUGUUUCUGCCAUCAAUGAGGAAGAAGUGAAGUCAGGUGCAGCUUACGUGCUGUUCUACAGAAGAGUUGGAGAAGCAGAUGGAGCAGCAAGCAAUGGAACCCAGUCAUGUGUGAAACGAAGCCGCAGAUCUAGCCAAAGAUAA
rnacentral:rRNA from 1 species